rnacentral:rRNA from 1 species
UAGGGAAUCUUCCACAAUGGGCGCAAGCCUGAUGGAGCAACACCGCGUGAGUGAAGAAGGGUUUCGGCUCGUAAAGCUCUGUUGUUAAAGAAGAACACGUAUGAGAGUAACUGUUCAUACGUUGACGGUAUUUAACCAGAAAGUCAACGGCUAACUACGUGCCAG